GAUGAACGCUGGCGGCGUGCCUAAUACAUGCAAGUCGAGCGAACAGAUGAGGAGCUUGCUCCUCUGACGUUAGCGGCGGACGGGUGAGUAACACGUGGAUAACCUACCUAUAAGACUGGGAUAACUUCGGGAAACCGGAGCUAAUACCGGAUAAUAUAUUGAACCGCAUGGUUCAAUAGUGAAAGACGGCUUUGCUGUUACUUAUAGAUGGAUCCGCGCCGUCUUAGCUGGUUGGUAAGGGAACGGCUUACCAAGGCAACGAUGCGUAGCCGACCUGAGAGGGUGGUCGCCCACACUGGAUCUUAGACACUAUCCUGUCUCCUACGGGAGGCAGCAGUCGGGAAUCUUCCGCAAUGGGCGAAAGCCUGACGGAGCAACGCCGCGUGAGUGAUGUAGGUCUUCGGAUCGUAAAACUCUGUUAUUAGGCAAGAACAAAUGUGUAAGUAACUAUGCACGUCUUGACGGUACCUAAUCAGAAAGCCACGGCUAACUACGUA
rnacentral:rRNA from 1 species